rnacentral:rRNA from 1 species
UGCCUGUAAGACUGGGAUAACUCCGGGAAACCGGGGCUAAUACCGGAUGGUUGUUUGAACCGCAUGGUUCAAACAUAAAAGGUGGCUUCGGCUACCACUUACAGAUGGACCCGCGGCGCAUUAGCUAGUUGGUGAGGUAAUGGCUCACCAAGGCAACGAUGCGUAGCCGACCUGAGAGGGUGAUCGGCCACACUGGGACUGAGACACGGCCCAGACUCCUACGGGAGGCAGCAGUAGGGAAUCUUCCGCAAUGGACGAAAGUCUGACGGAGCAACGCCGCGUGAGUGAUGAAGGUUUUCGGAUCGUAAAGCUCUGUUGUUAGGGAAGAACAAGUACCGUUCGAAUAGGGCGGUACCUUGACGGUACCUAACCAGAAAGCCACGGCUAACUACGUGCCAGCAGCCGCGGUAAUACGUAGGUGGCAAGCGUUGUCCGGAAUUAUUGGGCGUAAAGGGCUCGCAGGCGGUUUCUUAAGUCUGAUGUGAAAGCCCCCGGCUCAACCGGGGAGGGUCAUUGGAAACUGGGGAACUUGAGUGCAGAAGAGGAGAGUGGAAUUCCACGUGUAGCGGUGAAAUGCGUAGAGAUGUGGAGGAACACCAGUGGCGAAGGCGACUCUCUGGUCUGUAACUGACGCUGAGGAGCGAAAGCGUGGGGAGCGAACAGGAUUAGAUACCCUGGUAGUCCACGCCGUAAAC